UAGGAGGAAGCCGAAAAUCCAGUAAGAGAGUAGGCG
rnacentral:ncRNA from 1 species